UAGGGAAUCUUCCACAAUGGGCGAAAGCCUGAUGGAGCAACGCCGCGUGUGUGANGAAGGGUUUCGGCUCGUAAAACACUGUUGUAAGAGAAGAAUGACAUUGAGAGUAACUGUUCAAUGUGUGACGGUAUCUUACCAGAAAGGAACGGCUAAAUACGUGUCAG
rnacentral:rRNA from 1 species